GUACUGAUGAAGAGUCCCAAACCUGACGAAACAGCUGUCGAGUAC
rnacentral:hammerhead_ribozyme from 1 species